UCGGAGGGGCGUGGAUCACGUGAUGGGCAGCCGCCCCCGCUACAGGCUGGCUGUAGGGGUGACGUCACCACCCUGCCUGCAGGGGGUGGCACUUCCGUUUUCUUUUACCCCAGGGCUGCUCCUCAGCUCCUGGCACCCUGAGAGGGUUGAGUAGUCGUCUGAGGUCAUCAGGUGGUUUGGCAGCUAUUGGGAAGCCAGCGCAGGGGUCUGAAGCUGAAGCCAGGCGACCUCUCGAUUCGCCCCAUUGUGCGUUCAGUGGGCGCGGACGGUGCCGGGUGCCAGCCCCCUGCGGCUCCCAGCUCCAACAGGGCGGGGAGGACUUUGUGCGGUCAAGGCUGAGUCUGGCCACCAGCUGGAUCCUGAGUUCCGAAGAACUAGGGUCUCACUCGCCGGACUCGCCCUCCGGGCGCCAGGUGGUUAGGAACCCAUUCUGUGGCUGGGCUCCAUGGCCCGGCUUGGUGGGUGUGUGGUCAGAGUCCUCACCACUGGAGCGACUCAAUUCCAGCAGCCCUUAAGAGCUAUUUUUGAGGAAACUCUGGGUUCUGGUGACUCAGCUCCGUGAGCGCUAUUUAUAGCCUCCAGAGGACAUGGAAGAAGGAAGCUUUCUUGCUCUUUGCCAGCUUCCGCUCCCGCUCCCUAGCAAGUCGAUUCCUUCACUGGCAUUAGACCAGCAGAGACAUCCAACCUCAAUGGACUGAACAACUACUGGAUUCAUGGACCUCCCAUUGGUAAACAACCAUUGUUGGCCUAGCUGGACAAUGGCCUGUAAGCCAUUCUAUAUAUACAUAUACAUAGAUUCGUACUGUAGGUUCUGUUCCUCUAGAGAACCCUGUCUAAUCACAGAUUUUGGUACCAGAAGUGGUUCUAGAGCAGCAGAAGUAUAAGGAUGAAUUUUUUAAACAUCUGGAAUAGGCUUUGCGCUUUGCCAACACCUAAGUUACUGAAGCCUCUCGGGAGCUUGGAGAGUACUGAGAGCUCAUGGUGUGAACUGUGACAAAUGAAUUUGAUUAUCCUGAUCCGCCAUGUGUGAGAAGCAAUGGAUUUGUUGAGUCUGCAUAUAAAACUUUUGACAAUUUGUGGAAGAAUAAGGAAAAUGCUGAUGCUGGUUGGCUGCUUCUACCACGUCUGGAUAAACUGACAAAGGAAAAGAAUGAACUCUGUGAUGAAAUUAACCAGCAUCUAACUUUCAUAAAUUUGAAAAAGGACAGCAGUGAACUCAGCAAUAAAACUAAGCACACUAGCUAGUAGCAGCAAUAUUCUAGCUACUGGUAAUAAGAGCCAAGUAUGGUCUUUUCAUUAAAUAAAAUAACUCAAACUCCUUA